CCUACGGGCGGCAGCAGUGGGGAAUAUUGGACAAUGGGCGAAAGCCUGAUCCAGCCAUGCCGCGUGUGUGAAGAAGGCCUUCGGGUUGUAAAGCACUUUCAGUGGGGAAGAAAGCCUUGGGGCUAAUACCCUCGAGGAAGGACAUCACCCACAGAAGAAGCACCGGCUAACUCCGUGCCAGCAGCCGCGGUAAUACGGAGGGUGCGAGCGUUAAUCGGAAUUACUGGGCGUAAAGCGCGCGUAGGCGGUCUGAUAAGCCGGUUGUGAAAGCCCCGGGCUCAACCUGGGAACGGCAUCCGAAACUGUCAGGCUAGAGUGCAGGAGAGGAAGGUAGAAUUCCCGGUGUAGCGGUGAAAUGCGUAGAGAUCGGGAGGAAUACCAGUGGCGAAGGCGGCCUUCUGGACUGACACUGACGCUGAGGUGCGAAAGCGUGGGUAGCAAACAGGAUUAGAUACCCCUGUAGUC
rnacentral:rRNA from 1 species